CUCAAAACAGCAUCUCAUCCUUCAAUGGUUUUUCUGAAGCUCAAACACGUUCAAGUCAUUGGCGUAAAGCCUAUCAUUUCCGCACGCAUCGAUAUUACAAUCUUGGCCCUGAAUUAUUGGUGGUUUGGCUAACAGUUGAAAGAGCGGUGAAAAGGCAGCAAUGAAUGGCCACCCACUCAAGCAAAAACCAUGAACUAAAAGAGAAACCCAUCAAAGACAAGCACAGUACGAAAGUAACGUGAUGCCAGUC
rnacentral:lncRNA from 1 species